rnacentral:rRNA from 1 species
GCGCUGCUGCAGUUAAAACGCCCGUAGUUGGCCUCCCGCCGCCACGAGGAAACGGGAGCGCUCCAGGCAGGCCCGUUGGACCCGCCGCGUGGGACCGCGCAGCGGGCGAGGCGCGCCGCGGCAGCCCCGAGGAGAGCGGGCGGGGGAACCGGUACCGGCCGGGGACGGGUGAAACAGGUUGAUCCCGCCGAGACCGCCGGCCGCGCAGGCGCCUGCCAAGACCGCCUCUGUCAAUCAAGGGCGAAGGCCGGGGGCUAGAAGGCGAUCAGACACCACCGUAUUCCCGGCCGUAAACGGUGCCGCCCCGCGGCCGGCGCGCGCGUCCCGCCGGCCGCCCAGGGAAAUCGGGAGGCUCCGGGCUCUGGGG